AUUAUGCCUUCACCAACUGAGAAAGUAGUUAAAAGUUUGGGAGAACUGGUACAGAUUUGAAACAGAUAUGAUUAAAAAACAAACAAACAGAGGAAGGGGUUGGGGGAGCUGCUUUUAUAGCAUGUAGACACAGCAGCUCCAGUAUAAACAUGUAGUAGUUAUGGUGAUUGGAGAGUCCCUUUAAAUGUAUGAGGAACUAGUGUUUCU